rnacentral:tRNA from 1 species
AAAGGGAGACCUAAUUCAGGUAUGGGACGAAAAAAAAGUAGUCCCUACCAAGAAUCAAUCCCAAAAGGUCGGAGCGAGGCGAAAUUGGCUUUCAAACUAGGUUCUGGGUUCAAACAAGACCUGAAUCAGGAACAAGGGCUAUUAGCUCAGGUGGUUAGAGCGCACCCCUGAUAAGGGUGAGGUCCCUGGUUCGAGUCCAGGAUGGCCCACCUGUACAGGUGGCAAAAACAAAGAAGCGAGGAAUCAGCACCUUAUCUUAUCUAUAUAUAGGAGAGAAUGCUGGCUCUGAGUAAAGAGUCCAGAGGAACCUUGAAAACUGCAUAGAGCUAGGUGAAAAAGCCAAAAAAGAAGACCGCAAG